GGUGAGAUCUAAAAUCUUAAAAUUCUAAUCUUAAAUAUUUCUGAUUGUAGGAACAUUAAGUCGGAGAUCAAUAUUUCAGAAAGACUGGCACAUCCUAUGUAUGCUAGAUGGAGAGGAUGGCAGAUCCACAGCCACUUGUGUGGGAUACUAAUACAAAGAUAUGGGUACUCAUUUAGAAAAUGAGUCCACUGAAUUGACUCAUUGAAAGAGAAUAUCGUAUGGAAGUCUUACUUGCAUGUCAAAGAUGGUUCUCUAAGUAGAAGUUGUGCAAGUGAUCCUUAGACCUGAGAUCACCAUGAAAUUUUGUGCACAUGAAUCUAUAUUUUGGUUCAUACUCAAGUAUAGCAUUAAGACAUGUAUGGGGUAUUCUAGAUAUAGUGGAGUGUGUAUGAAGAUUGUGAGUAGGUCAACAUGGAAUCGAGCACUCCUAGUAAGAGGAGAUCGCAUCCUAUGUAUUCUCAUUCCUAGAUGACUCAGAAAAAAUCUUUUGAUCAAAAGUAGAAAAGAGAUUAAAAAGAGUUUCUAAUACUUUUUUAUUAGAGUCAUCAUUGAUUAAUUGAGAAUCGAUUUGAAUAUGUGUUUGAGUUUGACAUGAUUCCAUACUCAUGAACAUAUUUUGGGUGGAGGGAUGAUCGAAGGAUUGAAUUGCAUGGUAACUUGCCACUAAAGGGUAUAUUUAGUAUUUUUAUCAAAUUUCAUAUAUUUUAGGUAGUCAUGAUAUAUUGCUAGACAUCAAUCUUGACUUGUAGAUUUGAUUAAAUUAAAGAGUUUAAUUCGAUCACCAAUUGAAAGAAUUCUAAUUGUUGAACUCGGGUUAGCUCGAUUGGAUCUAAAUCGAUUAGAUUGAAGUCUAAUCAAAUUUGAUCAACUUAUAUUCGAACC
rnacentral:lncRNA from 1 species